rnacentral:rRNA from 1 species
UUGCGCAUGGGCGAAAGCCUGNGCAGCAACGCCGCGUGCGGGAUGAAGGCCUUCGGGUUGUAAACCGCUUUCAGCAGGGACGAAAUUGACGGUACCUGCAGAAGAAGCCCCGGCCAACUACGUGCCAGCAGCCGCGGUAACACGUAGGGGGCGAGCGUUGUCCGGAUUUAUUGGGCGUAAAGAGCUCGUAGGCGGCUCACUAAGUCGGGUGUGAAACCUCCAGGCUCAACCUGGAGACGCCACCCGAUACUGGUGUGGCUAGAGUCCGGUAGGGGAGCAUGGAAUUCCUGGUGUGGCGGUGAAAUGCGCAGAUAUCAGGAGGAACACCAGUGGCGAAGGCGGUGCUCUGGGCCGGAACUGACGCUGAGGAGCGAAAGCAUGGGGAGCAAACAGGAUUAGAUACCCUGGUAGUCCAUGCCGUAAACGUUGGGCACUAGGUGUGGGUCUCAACCAACGAGAUCCGUGCCGCAGCUAACGCAUUAAGUGCCCCGCCUGGGGAGUACGGCCGCAAGGCUAAAACUCAAAGGAAUUGACGGA